GCGUGAUGGUGGGGGUGGAGGCGGGGGUGACCCAGUUAAAGAUGCUCAGCCCCUGCUGCACUGGCCACUGGGUACUGAGCCAGCAGAGGAGGGGGCCAGAGGGCAGGUUAAGCCUGGCAGGAUGGCUGAAUGAAAGAACACGACGUGGAUCUACCAUUGGCCCUUCCAGGGUGUGUAGUUCGCUCAGAGAUGAAGAGCAAGGGCAUUACCAGGAAGGGGAACAGCAUAAGCUAAGGCCUGCAGAGCAGUCAUGCUGGAGAGGAGAAGGCCAUCAAGCCCUGGUCUGCAGGAAAAGCCAAAGCAGGGCCCCUCGCCUCCAUCCCAUCCUGCCUGCCCUCGUCACCUGCAUGGCAGAGAGAUGGCCUCUGCUCCUGCAGUGGGACCACUAGGCUUUAGGCAUGAGAUUAGGUGAUGUUAACCUCCACUUCACUCACUCCCCAGACCAGCCCCCUCCCCAGCCCUUCAUGGAUCACUUCAGGGUCAGACAGGCAUAUGUGGCUAUUAGCCCAGAGUCUGUAACAGAACCCUACUGGGGCUCAUCCAGUUUCUCUCACAUGCCUCCAGUGAUAGG
ensembl:lncRNA